rnacentral:rRNA from 1 species
AUGGGGAGCCCGGCAGGAACUCUGGCAGGGUCUCCUUUGGCUGUUCCAAAGGCCAAUGAACGCGCAUAUAAAUACACAUCUACUCCCUCGACCGAAGCUCCAGCUCAAUUGUGUCAUUAUUUCGUGCUCAACAAUGGUGUCUUGUCGUUCUACCAAAGUCGACGGAAUCUCGCCGCUCUGUCAACCUCGCCGGAAUUUAUCCGUACUGCCGACUUCGUCAGAAUUACAAUGCGGAAUCUCACAAGCUACAGCGAUCUGGCAGGUGCUCGGUUUGCAAGAAAAACAGCGACAUCCUGCAGCAGUUCACCGACUAAGUCGGCAGCCUGCAGCCAGCAGGAAGCACGAGAAGCAGAGAAGCAGCAGCAGGCCAGCAGCGGAGCAGUCAACAGCAGCAGGCAGCCGGCGCACGUCACGGCGGUCCGGAGGCGGAGUGCGGCGAUGGUUGCCCAGGCCGGCGGCCGGCGGACCACAGUUGGCAUCAGUGAGCAGCCGCUGGUCGAGUCAAAGGCCUAG